UGUUUGUAUAGUGUGUGUAUAUAAUGUAGUGUGUGUAUUUGUGUGCAUUGUAUACACACACUAUACAAACACACUGCAUUAUAUACACACACUAUACAAAC